AGACAAACUGCAACCGAGAAGAGGAAGUCACAUAUUCCAAACCUAAGAAGGAUUAUAAAUGCCCUUGUUGGUUUGAAGAUGAAGGGGAUUGUGUGACAAGAAAACAGAAAACAAAGAACUAAAUUCUGUCAACAACCAGAAUAAGUUUGGAAGUGGCUUUUCCUGCAGGGCCUUUAGGAGAAUAUUAUAGAACUGAAGAAGAGAGACCAAACAUAGCAAAAACAUUGUACAAAUAAGAGGCCCAGAUUCCUGGUGCUGGCAUCCACAGGGGGAAUAUCAAGUCAGAGCAGAAGCUUGCUGGACCAAGGAGUUAUUAAAAUAUAUAUGGAAUGAUCAGCCUCAUCAUUUCCUGCUUUGUCCUUCCCCUCCCUGGGGAGAUUGUUUCCUUCCCAUGCUGACCUA